ensembl:lncRNA
AUUUGUUCAAGAAAUGAAUUCUACUCUGUUUUGAAGACAUUCCUCUUGGUGGUACUCCUGCUGGGAUAAGGUCCCGUACAGAGGGGUGCCACAUAAAAGAGCACUCUUGUCCAAAGUAAACAGCGCUUCUCCUGUUAUUCCACAAAGUGUGUGUGGAAUCAGUCACAGCACAGGCGUUGUGUAAACCCACAGCGCUGUGCUCACUGCUCUAUAUGGCCAAACAAUGACGGCUCUUGCUUCUUCUCAUCGCUAUCAAAAGGACUUCCAAACUUCUUCCAAGGACUUCCAAAAAACGUCCUAUACAUAAAACAAGUCAUUGACAAGGAGAGUCAUGUAAUCAUUUUCCUACAGCUACUUGUUAAAGGUUUAUGCCGUGUGACCUAAAUAAUAGGUUUUGGAAAGUGUGCAAACUGUGUGCACGUCAGAAAACCUGUGUUAAAAAUUUAUUCAGUGUGACCUCACACGGUAAAACUGCUCCUAUUGAAUUCACAACGAAGUCUGAGAUUUCAUAGAGAUACUCGGAGUACAUUCAAGCGGGAUCUCUUGUGCAAAUAAGACAUAACAGUAGUGUAGCUGAGGCCAUAUGCGCAGAUGUAUCAUAUACUCACUUUAUCUGGAUGUUUAUUGUUUUAAUUUUUGCUUGCAUUACAUCACAAUGAGUAAAGGAAACUAACAAUUCAUGCAUUUUUGACGCUCGCUGAAGAAUUUCAAUUGGUUCCAUCACGUUUUACUGAUACCGAGCAGGGGAUGUCAAGGGUGUAAAAGCAGAUUUAUAUUGGAAAAGUGUACGGCAUAUAAACAAAGUAUGAUAUUACAGUAUAUUGAAAGGUUUUUGGUAUUGUUCAAAAAUCCCCUGCCUGCAGUAGAAGUUGUAGUGCGCGCGUACAUGGGGUUUUUACGGUAACCACUGGCUGCUUGGGGGAUGGGGAUGGAGAAGCAGCCAUUUGCCUGGUGGUUACUGUAAAACCCCAUAUUUAUAUACACUCCAGUUUCUACCUCAACACCAUUGACCACACUGUUUGAACGUGGCUUCACUGACCAGCACAACUGUUUUUAAUCACUUUCUAAUUAUCAUUACCAUUUAAAAUUAUUUGUAAAGUGAUUUAUUUUUUACUGAUGUUAACUAUAUACUUGCUUAAUGAUACCCAAGUCAAACAUGCACAUAUAUGUUUUAUUUCACAUUAAUGAACUCAAAACAUUCUCCGUAACCUUGACAGAAACAGAUACAAGAGAUUGCUGAUGUAAUGUAACAUGAGGGGGUGGAGUUUCCAGGGUUUCAGAUAAUAUUAGAAAUAGAGCUGCAACAACUAAUUAAUAAAAUCGAUAUGAAAAUUGUUGUCAACGAAUCUCAUCAUCAAUUAGUUGGUCUGUGUAUGGCACGGGGUACAUUUACUCACUAUGUUACUUCUGGUCCGAAAACACGCCUCGGGGAGUAAACACUAAAGUUAUACACUUGCACUAUCUACUGUGUACUCUACCGUCUAGUGUAUGAAUUUUAGAAAGGUAAUAUCGUCUCAAAAGGAACACUAGAGCUUUUUUUCUACUGACCGUAUGUAUAAGCCGUUUCCCGGUCAAUGGCACAUGACGUCAAACGCAUGUAAUGCGACACCGCUAGCUUUAGCAGAAUCCCAGAGUCAACGACAAUACAUUUCUUGUUUACUGUUUGUCAACGUUACCUUUUAUACCCAACAUGACCUCAGUCACUAUCACACGGAGGCAUAAGGGAGGGGCAUUUUACAUUAAACGCCAAGGAGAAGAUUGUAAAAAAGUGAAGCUUGAGUAGCACAGAAGACCUGUAAUGACUAAUUAAAAAGGUAUGAUCAAAGUAAACACAAGUAAAAUAAUAUGUCUAAAGGCAGCGACUGUUUGCAAAGAAUCCUUAAUUUGCACUAAAUUAGAAGUCAGCAUUGCAGCAUUGGAUGUAUCCUUGUCAGCAAAGCAAAGCAAUUUUGUAAUUUUGUCAACAGUAUAACAGUUCCACGAGUUUGAAAAAUGUCUCCGACAGAACUGUCACUCCAACCGCUGACGGAGGGAUUUUUUUUAGCAAUGUGGCCGCGUUUUUUUGUAUGGUUUUUUUUUUUUUUGAGUAAAUAUUUUGAUCAAAUUGUAAACUGUGAAAGGUCGUGCAAUAUACCAAUUUGGAAAAUUUUAUAUCAGUACAUGUCUAAUGCACUACGCUGAGGUAGCUGAUCAUGGCUUCUCUGUGACACUGUGGACUCACAGACCUUUCUCCAGUACCUUAAAAAUAUAACAACGGUAUCCAACAACAUCCAAACCAUACGCUGAGCUGCAGCAACUCAGUUUAAAAAUGAAUGCUCUGUAUGGAAAUAACGUGAAAAUAGUCACAAAAAUAAAUAAAUAAAUAAAUAAAUAAAAAGUAGCAGAAGCUAGAAGUGUGUAUGACCUGAAUCAUGAUAAAUUCCUCUCCUAUUAAAAAUUGCCUGUAAACUGGAGUGUGGCGGUGACCAUCUGCACUAUGUAGUGGGAGUAUUAGGGUGAAGGAUCAGGCACAGAUUGCCGCUCAUGCUUCAGAGUCACUUAAGAGUUUCAAAAUGGUGCAGUUUGCUCAUGGCCUUUUGCCCCUUCUACAUUAGCAAGUAUAUUAGUCCUUUAGUUCUGGCCAGUGUGCAGAUUUUGCAUAUUAAAUCUCAACAUGUUCACUGGCAUUCAGCAAGUUUGACUAUCUGGCAUGAGCACAUACGCUAUGAUCCAGAAUUACAGUGGGUGUAAUCUUUAAAUGAUCUGUUUCACUACCAUCUAGAUGCCAUGUAAAGUAGGAUUUCUAUUUCCUCAGCGGAUUGAUCAGCAAGAGUUGUUGCUUCUAAUGGAUCCUUGUAAGCACAGACCAGCCUGCCAUAUGGAUUUCUAACGCUCUUUCAAAUUCCCUUUAACCACGCACAAGAACCAGCGCCUUCACAUUACCGACUAGAAUUAUUCAGUUCUUUUUCUAUUUUAUGCCUUAAUUCUAAUGGAACACUAAGGUAGAUGCCAUCUUGCCUCAUUACGUGAUUGUUACCGAACUGGAAUAAAAAAAAAAAAUAGGUAUGUGUUAACGUUAAAAGAGCAGUCUGUAAUUUUUAGAGCCCCUUGCUGUCUGCAGAGUGAACCGUAACAUCACUGAAAUCACUAAAAAUUUCAAUCAGCCCCAAACUCAUCUAACCACACAGGUGUUGCUCGGAUUUAUAGAAAAGCGGUAGAGCUGUGCAGAUCUGUUCAACCUUGGAGGUCAUUUCCUGACCAGAAAAUAACUAAUUAAUUCAAUAAUUAAAAUUAAGCAGCUCAAACGUAGCCUUGAACAUAACUGAAUAAACAAGCUGUAUCUAAAAAUCAAUCCAUGCUUAUAGUUUGUUAUCAAAGAAGCAUAAAGAGAGCAUUAAAUAGUGGCCUUGAUAUUUAGGUUAAGGUUAUAUUUACUUCUAUAAUAUUGGUCUGGAAAUGCAGCCAGGCUUAUUAGAAAGCAUGGCUUCGGAAAAAAAACAAGGUCCAUUCUAGCGGGAAGUUAGUGUUGAUGUUAGUGUUAAUGCAGGAAUACCAUUUCAGAAAAAUACUGGCAGAAGACCCUCAGAGAAAAUCAUAUUCUGUAUAUUCUACAAUUACAAUGAGAUCUGAAUGUUUUGCUUGUGAUCAAUACGGCACAACUAUUCUUAAAAUGCUCCCCUCAAACCCAGCGUCCACAUGAUGUCAGGUGAUGACGUCAUCCUUGUUUUCAACACAUGCAUCUAUAUGCAGCAUGAUAUGAGCAUUGUUAUCUUUCCAGCAAUCAUGAACAAUGUCCUUCUCAUGACCUAAAAACACAAUCAAAUCACAUUACCAUUUUAUGAACAGAAGCAGUUUUGUAUGACUCUCUCUAUUUGGCUUUAAGGCUAACAGGAAUAUGAAAAUACAGUACAAUAUAAUUUAAAAAAAAUAAUAAUCCUUUAAACACUUACUGCUCAAAUAAGAUACAUUCUUAGAUGAGAGUCUUAGAAUCACAUUUAAGUCCAAGACACAUUAGAUGAAAAUGCAGGGAAUAAAGGGAAUCAAACUGAGCACUCUAUAUCUGCUCAAUAAACAAAAUAAACAGAAGAAAUGAUUUUAAAAAAAAGGGAUGAAACCUGACACACGAAGAGCAAAUCUGUUCUCAGGCAAACUAUUAUUUUAUUUCUCAGUAGCCAUUCCUCUAUGUUUUAUUUGUAGUCACAGAGUUUUCAUUAUUUAAAAAUGAGCUCAGAGCAGAAAUGAUUAUGAUCAGGUUAGUUAGACAACCAGUCUCUUUCAGCUCUGAAAAUAGGAAAUGCUCCUGCAUGAUGCACCUUACUACACAAAAAGUCUGGACAUAACUGUGCAACCAUGCAGAGGGAGUCGCCACCAUAAUUCAUACAAAUUCUACAAACAGUGGAGUAUUAAUAGAUGGAUGGAUGUGUGUGUGUGUGUGUGUUAGAGGUACACGGGUAUAUAUGCCUGCAUUACCAGGCUCUGUGGUGACUCUCACUUUAGCAGGUUCAGAUCCACUGCAGUGUUCUGAGACGUCCAUGCCAGAAGCCGUUAAUCUUAUGCGUGCCCAUGUUGUCUGAUAGAUUAGCCAAUAUUUUUUUUGCAGGUGUAAGAUACCUCUGCCUGCCGCUGGAAGCUCUACCAACAUGACAGCGGGGCAAUUCCACUGAGAGAGUUUGAGAGAGCUAUACAUCUGUACCUGGUCCUCUAUGUGUGAAAGAACAUGAUAGUACAACAUGAGCUAAUGUGACAUUACAAAGAUGCCAGGCCUAACACUCUGUCUUGUGUGAGACAUUCUCGGUCCUUCAGCUGGUACAGUACAGACGCACUCAUUACCCAGCCAUCUUGAGUUCCACAUGCCCAUCUGGAUCUUAUGCUACUUUUGCUGUGCAAUUAAGUGCAGUCGAUCUUAU